UCUGGUCAGAACGAACGCUGGCGGCGCGUUUAAGCAUGCAAGUCGAGCGGCAAGGGCCUUCGGGCCCCUAGAGCGGCGGACGGGUGAGUAACACGUGGACAAUCUGCCCCCCGGCCCGGGAUAGCCCAGGGAAACCUGGAUUAAUACCGGAUGAGACGGGACCCGCGAUGGCGGGACCCGGGGAAGGCGCUGCGGCGCCGCCGGGGGAUGAGUCUGCGUCCCAUUAGCUAGACGGCGGGGUAACGGCCCACCGUGGCGACGAUGGGUAGCCGGCCUGAGAGGGUGGACGGCCACAUUGGAACUGAGACACGGUCCAGACUCCUACGGGAGGCAGCAGCUAAGAAUCUUCCGCAAUGGGCGAAAGCCUGACGGAAGCGACGCCGCGUGAACGAAGAAGGCCGUGAGGUUGUAAAGUUCUUUUCGGGAGGGGGAACAACCGUGGCAGGGAAUGGCCGCGGGAUGACGUGAAUCCCGGAAUAAGCCCCGGCUAACUACGUGCCAGCCGCCGC
rnacentral:rRNA from 1 species